rnacentral:rRNA from 1 species
CUGACUCCUGCCCGGUGCUGGAAGGUUAAGAGGACCGGUUAGCCGCAAGGCGAAGCUGAGAAUUUAAGCCCCAGUAAACGGCGGUGGUAACUAUAACCAUCCUAAGGUAGCGAAAUUCCUUGUCGGGUAAGUUCCGACCCGCACGAAUGGCGUAACGACUUGAGCGCUGUCUCAACGAGAGACUCGGCGAAAUUGUAGCAUGCGUGAAGAUGCGCAUUACCCGCAACAGGACGGAAAGACCCCGUGGAGCUUUACUACACCCUAACGUUGCUGCCCGGCCUAGCUUGUAGAGCGUAGGUGGGAGACAGUUUACUGUCGCCAAUGGAACACCACCCUGGCUAUGUUGGGUAGCUAACCCGCGCCGUUAUCCGGCAAGGGAACCGCGUUAGGCGGGUAGUUUGACUGGGGCGGUCGCCUCCGAAAGGGUAUCGGAGGCGCUCAAAGGUUCCCUCAGAAUGGUUGGAAAUCAUUCGCAGAGUGUAAAGGCACAAGGGAGCUUGACUGUGAGACAGACAUGUCGAGCAGGGACGAAAGUCGGGACUAGUGAUCCGGCACCUACUUGUGGAUGUGGUGUCGCUCAACGGAUAAAAGGUACCCCGGGGAUAACAGGCUGAUCUUGCCCAAGAGUCCAUAUCGACGGCAUGGUUUGGCACCUCGAUGUCGGCUCGUCGCAUCCUGG